GGAGAAUCCAAAGUGAUACAGCUUUGUAUGUUAACAUGUGAGGAAACUGGCUGCAGCCUUUGAUGUCCUGAUACAUGAUUGAUCCAGCAAAGAUAAGGCACAGGAUGGUUAUCAACACUCCUAUGGUUAAACUCUUAUUAUCUGCAACAAAACACAUUGAGUUGACUUCUAUCAAGAGCCAUCCUUAUUGAACUGUGGUAUGUGGAUGGAGCAGGACAUUGCUGCCCGGCCAAGUUUCUAACUGCAAUGCAGACCUGCAAAACAAGACAAAUGACUUAACAUGAAAAGGAUUACCUUACACAUCUGUGAGCCGCACUGGCUGAUAAGGCCUCCUAAUCAGAUAGUGACACAUCUGAAAGAAAUAAAACCUAUAGAAGAAAAGAGAUGUGCAGGUACCUGCCUAUUGGCACGACUAAGAGGGCACAGAGCAACUCGGAGUGCAAGAUGUCAUGGAGUAACAGGGAUCCUAAAAAGCAUUCUUUAUUUGGCAGGUAAUUGUUUGAGUGGCACCAGCUGACAACUUCCAUAAUACGAGGAUAAUCACACACCUCUUAAGUCUUAUUCUCUCUUUGCCUCCAGCAGCAACAUUAUCUGCUUUCUAACUUUUGUUCCUCCUGCCUUCACAGAAACGAGUCUCUCUACACUGUUAACGCUGGAAAGCUUUGUCAGCCCACUUGAACACUCCUCUCCAUCAAGGGCUUGCACUAGCUUGCAUACUGAUUUUUCCACUGCUCUCAGAUGAACCAGUUGCUGGAAGAACGUGUGAAACUGGAAUCAGGGCUGAGGAAACCCUCCCUUCGAUAUCACACCUGCACUGUCUAUAAAGAUACAGUCCUCAGUGUUCAGGUGGGUUUCAUCUGAGUUAAGGAACAACUAGCAAGACCUGCUUUAGCAAACGCUCCCUGCAGAACAAGAGAGCUCCAAGGGACCGGAGCCCAUCAUUAACUCAGCUUAUCCCUGCUGCACAGAGCAGAAGGAGCCGGUAGACUCAUGGCUUUUUCCUCAGGAGGUCCCACAGUCCCAAACACCCAUCAAAAGAAGGGCUGCUUUUUAUUUCCCUUUGCUACCAGCCAAGUAGUGGCUUUGUUAGUAAUACAGAGGCUAAAGCUCCACGCUGUAUCGACAGAAUACGUGAACCGAACGGGCCCAAAAUGGUCUUGCACAGGACAAAGAUGGCACAGUCACACGUAGAUGCUCCAAUUGAUUUUUAAAUAAAGUUUGUGGGCUUAGGGCUAGUUGUCAAUAUGGUUCUAAAUUCUGUGCUAACACUGAUCAUCACUGAUCUACUACCACCACGGAGAAGCUACACAAUAGAUUAAUAAAUGGGUAUCUAAGACACUCAGUAGUUCACAAGAGUUUGCAAAUACGCAUUUUGCUGGCAAGGUCAGCUGGCAGGCUUUCAGAAGGACUGUACUGGCUGUGUCUGCAGAGUAUUAAAAUAUCAUUCACAUAGCUUAGACUGGCUAUGGUCAUGUAAAAAUGCCAAAAAAAAAAAAAAAAUUACUUUUCAAAGACAGCAAGAUAAUUAAAAAUGUCAUUUGUUAAGCAUUGGGUUUUUUACGUUAAAGUGCUACAGGAGUUCCCAUCUACAAUUCUACAAGGUAAUUUUUUGCUAUUCAGGAGUCGCCAGAGGUUCUCCAUCGUACAGACUUAAAGAUGCUCGUGUAAGCUGAUGCUCAUUCCAGCACAAUGAUAAGAUGCAGCACUCUCAACACUGCUCAGUUUUUCAAAUAUGGGAUGAUAAAAUAAGUUAAAUCAAAUUGAAAUCCCUUCUCAGGAGAUGACAGAGAAUUUCCUAUGGCUCUUCCAAUGUGGUUGCCACAGCUUUUCACAGAAACAAACAGAUCAUUGGCAAAUCAAAGGCAAUAAGGCAUAGCUUGACAUAAUUAUAAUUUUCAUAAUAUAAACUAGGUUUCAAAACACUUUGAUAUUAUUAACUGAUAUCAUCAAUUUUUUCAUCCUGCACCACUUUCAUACCAUGAAACUCAUCAAUAUGGUUUUACUUUAUUUUAAUACUUUUGGAAAUGCUAUUCUAUUUGAAUCUCAAUUCAAAUGCAUAUUUUAACUUUUCUGUGUUCACAUAGAAACUGUAUUUUUUUUAAAUGUUAAUGGGAAUUCUUCAUGAAGGAAAGUUAGACUUAAAAUUGCUUUGGAGACGACAAAAUUCCUUUUUAUCACAGGCUGUUA